rnacentral:rRNA from 1 species
GACGAACGCUGGCGGCGUGCUUAACACAUGCAAGUCGAACGGAAAGGCCCUGCUUUUGUGGGGUGCUCGAGUGGCGAACGGGUGAGUAACACGUGAGUAACCUGCCCUUGACUUUGGGAUAACUUCAGGAAACUGGGGCUAAUACCGGAUAGGAGCUCCUGCUGCAUGGUGGGUGUUGGAAAGUUUCGGCGGUUGGGGAUGGACUCGCGGCUUAUCAGCUUGUUGGUGGGGUAGUGGCUUACCAAGGCUUUGACGGGUAGCCGGCCUGAGAGGGUGACCGGCCACAUUGGGACUGAGAUACGGCCCAGACUGCUACGGGAGGCAGCAGUGGGGAAUAUUGCAAAAUGGGCGGAAGCCGGAUGCAGCAACGCCGCGUGCGGGAUGACGGCCUUCGGGUUGUAAACCGCUUUCGCCUGUGAAGAAGAGUGAGUGACGGUAAUGGGUAAAGAAGCACCGGCUAACUACGUG